AAAGUCGUAACAAGGUAACCGUAGGUGAACCUGCGGUUGGAUCAUUAAUGUAUUUGUUUUAACGUGAAGUUAAGACGUACUAGAGGUUGAGCUCUUGAAGAGUCGCAAGACUUUGAUAGAGUUCCCUCGCCUACACCUGUGAACUGUUUUAAUCUUUGGUAGGGGAAACCUUACCACUGGUUAUAAGUCUUUGGUCGAGGGGUAACCCAACACCUUUGACUACCCAAACUUUAUAGUCUUUAGAAACUAGUCUUAAUUAAACAACUUAAAUGUUGAUACAACUUUUGACAAUGGAUCUCUUGGCUCUC
rnacentral:misc_RNA from 1 species